rnacentral:rRNA from 1 species
CCUACGGGUGGCUGCAGUGGGGAAUAUUGCACAAUGGGCGCAAGCCUGAUGCAGCCAUGCCGCGUGUGUGAAGAAGGCCUUCGGGUUGUAAAGCACUUUCAGCGGGGAGGAAGGCGGUGAGGUUAAUAACCUCAUCGAUUGACGUUACCCGCAGAAGAAGCACCGGCUAACUCCGUGCCAGCAGCCGCGGUAAUACGGAGGGUGCAAGCGUUAAUCGGAAUUACUGGGCGUAAAGCGCACGCAGGCGGUCUGUCAAGUCGGAUGUGAAAUCCCCGGGCUCAACCUGGGAACUGCAUUCGAAACUGGCAAGCUAGAGUCUUGUAGAGGGGGGUAGAAUUCCAGGUGUAGCGGUGAAAUGCGUAGAGAUCUGGAGGAAUACCGGUGGCGAAGGCGGCCCCCUGGACAAAGACUGACGCUCAGGUGCGAAAGCGUGGGGAGCAAACAGGAUUAGAUACCCGAGUAGUC